GGCCGCGUGGUCUAGUGGUAUGAUUCGUGCUUUGGGCUCCUUUAAACAGCGCCUAUGCACGAGGCCCCGGGUUCAAUCCCCGGCGCGGCCC